rnacentral:rRNA from 1 species
ACUGGAAUGAACGGCUAAAUGAGGACUAAACUGUCUCUUGUGGUCCACCAAUGAAAUUGAUCUCCCAGUACAAAAGCUGGGAUAAACCCAUAAGACGAGAAGACCCUGUGGAGCUUUAAAACUAAGCCCAUAUAACAUGUCCUCUUGAGUUUUUAGUUGGGGCGACUUUGGAGCACAAAAAAACCUCCAUAAAUGAUAAAUACAUCCUAUUAAGAUUAACACACCAAAACAACCAUACAAGACCCAGCAACUACCUCUGUUGUCUGACUAAUGAACCAAGUUACCCCAGGGAUAACAGCGCUAUUCCCCUCUAGAGUCCCUAUCGACAGGGGAGUUUACGACCUCGAUGUUGGAUCAGGACACCCCGAUGGUGCAGCCGCCAUAAAAG